GAUGAACGCUGGCGGCGUGCCUAAUACAUGCAAGUCGAGCGAACGGACGAGAAGCUUGCUUCUCUGAUGUUAGCGGCGGACGGGUGAGUAACACGUGGAUAACCUACCUAUAAGACUGGGAUCACUUCGGGAAACCGGAGCUAAUACCGGAUGAUAUUUUGCACCGCAUGGUUCAAAAGUGAAAGACGGUCUUGCUGUCACUUAUCGAUGGAUCCGCGCUGCAUUAGCUAGUUGGUAAGGUAACGGCUUACCAAGGCAACGAUGCAUAGCCGACCUGAGAGAGGGAUCGGCGACACGGGAACGGAGACACGGUCCAGACUCCUAAGGGAGGCAGCAGUAGGGAAUGGGCCGCAGUGGGCGAAAGCAUGACGGAGCAACGGGGCGUGAGUGAUGAAGGUGUUGGGAGCGUAAAACUCUGUUAUUAGGGAAGAACAGAUGUGGAAGUAACUGUGCACAGCGUGACGGUACCUAAUCAGAAAGCCACGGCUAACUACGUG
rnacentral:rRNA from 1 species